rnacentral:lncRNA from 1 species
CGCAAGGAAAUACGAAUCUUACUCGACUGGGGAAGAACAAAGACUUCGACUAAAGAACGCAUGAGACAUAUUAUCUAUUACCAUCAUAACAUAGAUAACAUACUCGCAUGGAAGAUUAUCCACAACCGGUUACUGGGUUAAUGAUGGAUAAUCGACCGAAAAAGAAAGGACAUCGGGAUACCAGUUAUUGGGUAAAAAUGAUGACCAAUCAGAAGGAGAAAC